GCGCUCUUGGGCGAGACGCUUGAGGGUCUUUUUCUCGGCAUUCGCGGUGCGAAUGCGCGAGACCGCCC
rnacentral:tRNA from 1 species